GGGAAUGUAGCUUAGCCCGGUUCAAAGCAGUCGCCUGUCGAGCGAAAGAUCGUCGGUUCAAAUCCGUCCAUUCCCG
rnacentral:tRNA from 1 species